AGCAGUAGCGUGCGAGUGACAGUGAAGAAAUUUCUUCCGCUCCGAUGUAAAUAUAUGACAUGUAGGCUACAUUUAAAGCGCCAAUACUUUUGAAACUGUGAGGAAAACAACGCGCCUUUAGCGCCUGCUUCACUAUACUCGUCACCAUGUCAGUCAGAGCAACCGACCGCCGGAUGAGGUUCUGGGGAUCUAAUGCUUGUGAUAAUCUACAGCAGAUGACCAUGACAAUCCAGGUUCUGGGGAUCUAAUGCUUGUGAUAAUCUACAGCAGAUGACCAUGACAAUCCAGGUUCUGUGGAUCGACUGCUUGUGCUAAUCUACCGCAGGUGACCAUAACAAUCCAGCAGAUAACUUCAGGAUUUAUAGAAGGCAUAUAAUGACAGUGAGCGGGACCAAAACUCUGACAAUCUAAGUCACCUAUAGGUAGCAUAAGUAAUCUAUAUGACUCAAGUUGCUCAAAUAAUGUCUAGAUAUGUAACGAAUACCUUGCAUGUACAGAGCUAUGUUCUGAAUCUGAUAUACUCCGCUUGUAUUCCCACUGUCAGAUGAACAUUUUAAAAAAUAAAUAUUUUUGCA